rnacentral:lncRNA from 1 species
GUGAAUGGUGAUUGUUCAUGAAAUAUGAUUAAUGAUUGUUCAUGGCUUAUGAUUGGUGAUUGUUCAUGAUGUAUAUGAUCAGUGAUUGUUCAUGAUGUAUAUGAUUGGUGAUUGUGUAUGAAUAACUGUGAAUUAAUUAUUAUUCAUGAUACAUGUAAUUGGUGAUUUUUCAUGAAAUGUGAUUAGUGAUUAUUCAUGAUACAAGUAAUUGGUGAUUGUUCAUGAAAUGUGAUUAAUGAUUAUUCAUGAUAAAUGUGAUUGGUGAUUGUGAAUGAAUAAUUGUAAAUUGAUAAUUGUUCAUAUGAUUGAUGAAUAUUGAUGUGAGAUAUCGGGGUGUGAUGUAAGUAUUAAUGUGUAAUUAUUAUUGAUCAAGUGCAUGAUGUUUAAAUUGAAAUAUUCAUGUUAACUGUUAUUUGGAUUAUGAUAAUGUAAUACUUACCCCCAGUGGAUCUGUUAUGGACCGCCUGCCUAUCUGUAUGGAUGGGUAGACGUUGUGCAGG